UUUCCGUAGGUGAACCUGAGGAAGGAUCAUUAUUGUAUAGCCGAGGUGCGAGGGCUGUCGCUGACCCGAAAGGUCGUGCACGCCCGAGUGCCCUCACACACAUCCAUCUCACCCCUAUGUGAACCACCGCGUGGGUCCCCCUUUGGCUUGUUCGGAGGGGGGCUUACGUUUUCACACAAACUUUGUAUGCAGUGUAGAAUGUAUUUUUUGUUUUUGCGAUCACGCAAUCAAUACAACUUUCAACAACGGAUCUCUUGGCUCUC
rnacentral:misc_RNA from 1 species